rnacentral:rRNA from 1 species
GGAAAGGUGAAAAGGACCCCGGGAGGGGAGUGAAAGAGAACCUGAAACCUUGUGCUUACAAACAGUCAAAGGCCUACGGGCUGAUGGCGUACUUUUUGUAGAACGGUCCGGCGAGUUACUAAUGCCAGCGAGGUUAAGAUGUCAGAAGCAUCGGAGCCGAAGGGAAACCAAGUCUGAAUAGGGCGUAGAGUUGGUAUUAGUAGACCCGAAACCGGGUGACCUAUCCAUGUCCAGGUUGAAGGAACCGUAAAAGGUUUUGGAGGACCGAACACACAUGUGUUGAAAAACGUGGUGAUGAGGUGUGGAUAGCGGAGAAAUUCCAAUCGAACUCGGAGAUAGCUGGUUCUCCUCGAAAUAGCUUUAGGGCUAGCCUCGAGCUGGAGUCUAACGGAGGUAAAGCACUGAACUGACGCGGGGCCCAAAAAGGUUACCAACUCAUAUCAAACUAAGAAUGCCGUCAAGAUACCCUCGGGAGUCAGUCUGCGUGAGAUAAGUCGCGUGGACAAAAGGGAAAGAGCCCAGACCGACAGCUAAGGUCCCAAAGUACGUGUUAAGUGGAAAAGGAUGUGGGAUUUCAUAGACAACUAGGAUGUUGGCUUAGAAGCAGCCAUACAUUUAAAGAGUGCGUAAUAGCUCACUAGUCGAGAAAACCUGCGCCGAAAAUGUAACGGGGCUAAAACACGACACCGAAGCUACGGAUUCCUUACAAAGUAAGGAGUGGUAGAGGAGCAUCCUGCAAGGACGAAGCCAAAGUGAGAGCGAUGGUGGACGAAACAGGAGAGAGAAUGCCGGAAUGAGUAGCGAGAUACAUGUGAGAAACAUGUAGGCCGAAUAUCUAAGGAUUCCUGGGUAAAGCUAAUCUUCCCAGGGUUAGUCGGGGCCUAAGGCGAGGACGAAAGUCGUAGUCGAUGGAUAACAGGUUGAUAUUCCUGUACUACACAUAAUCAGAACUGUGGGGACGCAGGAGGAUAGGGAAACCGGGGAAUGGAAAGACCCGGUCAAGCGUAAAGCUGUGGGAGAUAGGCAAAUCCGUCUUCUGUAAGUGAAACGUGAUGAGGACUGAAAAAAAGUAAGGAAGUUUCCGAAUCCACACUGCCGAGAAAAGCCGCUAUUGCGUUAUGUGUACCCGUACCGUAAACCGACACAGGUAGAUGAGGAGAAAAUCCACAGGCCGACGGGAGAAGUGUUGUUAAGGAACUCGGCAAAAUGACCCCGUAACUUCGGGAUAAGGGGAGCCUCGCAAGAGGCCGCAGAAAAGAGGCACAAGCAACUGUUUAGCAAAAACAUAGGUCUAUGCGAAACCGUAAGGUGAAGUAUAUGGGCUGACGCCUGCCCGGUGCUGGAAGGUUAAGAGGAGAGGUUAGCGUAAGCGAAGCUUUGAAUUUAAGCCCCAGUAAACGGCGGCCGUAACUAUAACGGUCCUAAGGUAGCGAAAUUCCUUGUCAGGUAAGUUCUGACCCGCACGAAAGGCGUAAUGAUUUGUGCACUGUCUCGACAACACGCCCGGUGAAAUUGAAGAACCAGUGAAGAUACUGGUUACCCGCAACAGGACGGAAAGACCCCAUGGAGCUUUACUGCAGCCUGAUACUGGGAUUCGAUGAUAUAUGUACAGGAUAGGUGGGAGGCUAAGAAGCGAGAACGCUAGUUUUCGUGGAGCCGCCGGUGGGAUACCACUCUUAUGUCAUUGAAUUUCUAACCUGCAUCCGUAAUCCGGGUGAGGGACAAUGUCAGGCGGGCAGUUUGACUGGGGCGGUCGCCUCCUAAAAGGUAACGGAGGCGCUCGAAGGUCACCUCAGAAUGAUUGGAAACCAUUCAAAGAGUGUAAAGGCAAAAGGUGGCUUGACUGCGAGAGCGACGGCUCGAGCAGGUACGAAAGUAGGACUUAGUGAUCCGGUGGUAAUAAGUGGGAAUGCCAUCGCUCAACGGAUAAAAGCUACCCUGGGGAUAACAGGCU